GGUGGGUGGCUCGGUCUCACGAAGGGGGUUUCAGUCAGUUUUUCUCAGAGUUGUCUUCUUCAAUGGCGGCUCUUAACAUUUCGACAAGAAUGUCUCUCCUCAAACCCGAGAGGACCCCUGAUUUUCUACCAUCCUCCAAGCGCCUUAGCGAUUUCCUUGCAUUUCAAUCUAGACCCAGAAAGAAACGUGCCAGAAGAGCCAUGCAUUCACUGUUAGAUCCAUGAAGAUAGCCAAGGAGAGAUACCGAGGCCAGCUCAACUCGCCUAAUGGCCUUGCGGGGAGCCCUGACAAGUACUCUCUUUAUGAUGAUCAGUCCAUUGAAUAUUACUCUAUGGGCUAGGCAAGGGCGACUUCGAACAAUCGAAGAAAAAUGAAGAUAGUUUGUACAAUUGGUCCCUCCACAAGUACAGAUAAAGACUGGGAAGAUAUCAAGUUUGGAGUGGACAACCAAGUCGAUUUCUAUGCUGUCUCUUUUGUAAAAGAUGCUAGAGUGGUUCAUGAGUAGAAAGAUUAUCUUAAAAGUUGCAAUGCAGACAUUCACAUGAUUGUAAAAAUUGAAAGUGCAGACUCUAUCCCAAAUCUUCAUUCAAUUAUUCCUGCAUAUGAUGGGGCAAUGGUUGCUCGUGGGGACCUUGGAGCUGAACUUUCGAUUGAGGAUGUUCCUCUGUUACA